AAAUUGAAGAGUUUGAUCAUGGCUCAGAUUGAACGCUGGCGGCAGGCCUAACACAUGCAAGUCGAACGGUAACAGGAAGCAGCUUGCUGCUUUGCUGACGAGUGGCGGACGGGUGAGUAAUGUCUGGGAAACUGCCUGAUGGAGGGGGAUAACUACUGGAAACGGUGGCUAAUACCGCAUAACGUCGCAAGACCAAAGAGGGGGACCUUCGGGCCUCUUGCCAUCAGAUGUGCCCAGAUGGGAUUAGCUUGUUGGUGAGGUAACGGCUCACCAAGGCGACGAUCCCUAGCUGGUCUGAGAGGAUGACCAGCCACACUGGAACUGAGACACGGUCCAGACUCCUACGGGAGGCAGCAGUGGGGAAUAUUGCACAAUGGGCGCAAGCCUGAUGCAGCCAUGCCGCGUGUAUGAAGAAGGCCUUCGGGUUGUAAAGUACUUUCAGCGGGGAGGAAGGUGUUGUGGUUAAUAACCACAGCAAUUGACGUUACCCGCAGAAGAAGCACCGGCUAACUCCGUGCCAGCAGCCGCGGUAAUACGGAGGGUGCAAGCGUUAAUCGGAAUUACUGGGCGUAAAGCGCACGCAGGCGGUCUGUCAAGUCGGAUGUGAAAUCCCCGGGCUCAACCUGGGAACUGCAUUCGAAACUGGCAGGCUUGAGUCUUGUAGAGGGGGGUAGAAUUCCAGGUGUAGCGGUGAAAUGCGUAGAGAUCUGGAGGAAUACCGGUGGCGAAGGCGGCCCCCUGGACAAAGACUGACGCUCAGGUGCGAAAGCGUGGGGAGCAAACAGGAUUAGAUACCCUGGUAGUCCACGCCGUAAACGAUGUCUACUUGGAGGUUGUGCCCUUGAGGCGUGGCUUCCGGAGCUAACGCGUUAAGUAGACCGCCUGGGGAGUACGGCCGCAAGGUUAAAACUCAAAUGAAUUGACGGGGGCCCGCACAAGCGGUGGAGCAUGUGGUUUAAUUCGAUGCAACGCGAAGAACCUUACCUGGUCUUGACAUCCACGGAAGUUUUCAGAGAUGAGAAUGUGCCUUCGGGAACCGUGAGACAGGUGCUGCAUGGCUGUCGUCAGCUCGUGUUGUGAAAUGUUGGGUUAAGUCCCGCAACGAGCGCAACCCUUAUCCUUUGUUGCCAGCGGUCCGGCCGGGAACUCAAAGGAGACUGCCAGUGAUAAACUGGAGGAAGGUGGGGAUGACGUCAAGUCAUCAUGGCCCUUACGACCAGGGCUACACACGUGCUACAAUGGCGCAUACAAAGAGAAGCGACCUCGCGAGAGCAAGCGGACCUCAUAAAGUGCGUCGUAGUCCGGAUUGGAGUCUGCAACUCGACUCCAUGAAGUCGGAAUCGCUAGUAAUCGUGGAUCAGAAUGCCACGGUGAAUACGUUCCCGGGCCUUGUACACACCGCCCGUCACACCAUGGGAGUGGGUUGCAAAAGAAGUAGGUAGCUUAACCUUCGGGAGGGCGCUUACCACUUUGUGAUUCAUGACUGGGGUGAAGUCGUAACAAGGUAACCGUAGGGGAACCUGCGGUUGGAUCACCUCCUUACCUUAAAGAAGC
rnacentral:rRNA from 4 species